rnacentral:rRNA from 1 species
GACGAACGCUGGCGGCGUGCUUAACACAUGCAAGUCGAACGGGCCUGUCUUCUUUUUUGGGGGUGGGUUGAGUGGCGAACGGGUGAGUAUCACGUGAGUAACCUGCCCUUCGGUCCUGGAUAACCGCUUGAAAGGGCGGCCAAUACGGGGUGGUCCGGUUGGUCCGCAUGGGCUGGUCGGGAUAGAUUCACUGUUUUUGGCGUUUCGGCGGGGGAUGGGUUCGCGGCCUAUCAGCUUGUUGGUGGGGUGAUGGCCUACCAAGGCGGUGACGGGUAGCCGGCCGGAGGGGGUGGGCGGCCGGACUGGGACGGCGAUCCGGCCCAGGAUCCUGCGGGAGGCAGCGGUUGGGGGUAUUACAGACGGGGGGGUGACGUGAUGCAGCGACGUGGCGUGAGGGAUGUAGGCGUUCGGGUUGUGAUCCUCUGAUUGCGGUGGUGAAGGGCCUGUCCGUGUGGUGGGGUUGACGGUAGCCGGGGAUGAAGCGCCGGCUAACUACGUG